rnacentral:rRNA from 1 species
UGGGGGAUAUUGCACAAUGGGCGCAAGCCUGAUGCAGCGACGCCGCGUGGGGGAUGAAGGCCUUCGGGUUGUAAACUUCUUUUGCUCUGAACAAGGCGCACUUUGGGGUGUGUUGAGUGUAGGGGUUGAUUAGCGCCGGCUAACUACGUGCCAGCAGCCGCGGUAAUACGUAGGGCGCGAGCGUUGUCCGGAAUUAUUGGGCGUAAAGGGCUUGUAGGUGGCUGGUUGCGUCUGUCGUGAAAGCUCAUGGCUUAACUGUGGGUUUGCGGUGGGUACGGGCUGGCUUGAGUGCAGUAGGGGAGGCUGGAAUUCCUGGUGUAGCGGUGGAAUGCGCAGAUAUCAGGAGGAAUACCGGUGGCGAAGGCGGGUCUCUUGGCUGUUACUGACACUGAGGAGCGAAAGCAUGGGGAGCGAACAGG